rnacentral:lncRNA from 1 species
CAGGAAGGACAGGAAGAGGAGUUGUUGUUUUGACCUUGCACGUUGUACCUUUCUUUUCACACAUGUCAGUUCCGUUUAAAUUGUCAAUUCAUGAAGUAAUUUGUUUAUAAAGUCUUAGGAUAGCAUUUAUUAAUAGUGUUACAUAGAUUUCUGAAUUGACAGAAUUGAAACUCAUACACCGGAGAAUUCAGAUGCUCUUGUUGGUCUCUUACAAGACUAAAGGUGAAUAUAUUUAUUUCAUUUAAAACCACUUGAAAACCAGGGUGUUGAAACUGUUUGUGAAGUUAUGUUCCAUCGACUGGUCCAUGACGUCCAGGGGCCAUUUGUUUGUUUAGCUGUGUUAUGGCUACACAUUCUUUUCUUUUUUUCAGAGACAGACACACACCUCUCCUCCACUCCUCUCUGUACCUCAGAUCUCCAGUGCCCUGCCCUCUCUCUUUAUGGCCAUGUCUGAAGUUCCCCUACUACGUCUAGGCUUUAUGAGUAGAGUCCCUGUAUCUGUCUGAAGUUCCCCUACUACGUCUAGGCUUUAUGAGUAUAGUCCCUGUAUCUGUCUGCAGUUCCCCUACUACGUCUAGGCUUUAUGAGUAUAGUCCCUGUAUCUGUCUACAGUUCCCCUACUACGUCUAGGCUUUAUGAGUAGUCCCUGUAUCUGUCUGCAGUUCCCCUACUACGUCUAGGCUUUAUGAGUAGUCCCUGUAUCUGUCUGCAGUUCCCCUACUACGUCUAGGCUUUAUGAGUAGUCCCUGUAUCUGUCUGCAGUUCCCCUACUACGUCUAGGCUUUAUGAGUAGUCCCUGUAUCUGUCUACAGUUCCCCUACUACGUCUAGGCUUUAUGAGUAGUCCCUGUAUCUGUCUGAAGUUCCUCUACUACGUCUAGGCUUUAUGAGUAGUCCCUGUAUCUGUCUGCAGUUCCCCUACAACGUCUAGGCUUUAUGAGUAGUCCCUGUAUCUGUCUGCAGUUGUGCCAAAAAAACAUGCAGAAUACAGGCUACACAUUCAUUUAUUUUUAUUUUUACACACACCUCUCAAUAGUUUUAUGUUUUUAACAUUUUUACAACACACAUACCUGUCAUGUUCUUUCCUGUACUUGAAUACAUAUUAAAUUAUGUUUUCAUAGUCAGUUGUUUAAUUUGUUUAUUAAUAAAUCAUUUAGACUUAAUCUGCUUAUUUCUUCCCUACACCUUUGCAGAUCUAAGACAAGAUGAAAGUAAAAACACAUUCUCUUCCUACCUGUAUUUUGUCAGGCCAGUGAACAUGGUGGUAAACUGUACUAUUUGUAUGGACCCUAGGUUACCCUUUCCCGUUGUUAUCAUACUGUAUGUCGUAUAACCUUAGUGCUCCCGC